CUAAAUAUUGUGAGGCUGCAGGUGGCGACACGUCUUGCCUUGGAUGGAUCUGUUGUUAGGAAAUAGAAACAGUUUAACUAACACCUGGAACAUUGUGGAUUCUGCUGUAUCAAAGCUCUUCCUGCACAGCUCCGACAACCUAAACCCAUGAGUCCUCAGAGCAGUACCCCUUCCACACCACCGACAUGAUACAGACCCCUCCACCAAUGCCUUGUGUGGCACCAUUACCAUUGAAUUUGAUUACAAAGGUGCCACUUACAACAUGAUAAGCAUCCCUGCUAUCUCCAGCUACGUGCUCACCUUUGUUUCAAAGUGAAUUGUAUUAUUAUUUUUGCAUGGAAUUACCUAGAAUUUACAGCACAGAAACAGGCCAUUUGGUCUAUGCUGGUGUCUAUGCUCCACAUGAGCCUCCUCCCACCCCAGCUUCAUCUCACCCUACUAGCAUAUCUUUUAUGAUUUUAAUGUUCACUAGUUGCCACUAGCCCUUUUCAAUGCUUUUGACUGUAUUUGCACCAUAACAAAGACACCUGUUGAAUUGGACCAAUAUAUUGUAGUGACAAACCAUGUCUGCAAGGAUCAGUAGGGAAAAUCACAAUGAUCCAGAGAUAGAGACCUGGAGACAAUUCACUCUUUUGUUGUGUACACCCACAGCAGUUCUAUUGCUCACUUUUUAUUAGUGGGCAAAUCGCGUUAACACUGACUGUAAACGUUGGAGACUGUGACUCCAAUUCUCACAUCAAACUGUCCUUAUGACCUUGUCUGAAUGAGAUUGUCCAGUUAGUGGAAAUUAAUGCCAAAUUACAGGCAGGUUUGUGUGGUUGGCCUGGAAUCCACUGGGAAAAUGGACUUCAACCUGCUUGAAAGCUGUAAAAUCAUCACACGUGGAAGUGGAGACCCAAACCACUUUCUGCUGGUGUCAGUCAAACAAUGGUGGAAGUCAAAAGGACAUUUUCUUUCAUUUAUCCACAUUCAAUAACUUUUUGAAAAUAAUAUUCCCAAACUGCAAAUGCUGCCUUGUUGCAUCCACAAAACGUCGCAUCUAAAUAUAGACCUCCUGCAUCUGACUUUUUGCUAAACAUCUUUCGCAUCUUCCGGUGUUUUGCUCUCCAGUGACAUCUCUGACUGCCAGCUUAAUUAAAUGUUGCUGAAGGAUUCUGCCACAGGGGCCUUAUAAUAUCUCCUGCCUGAGGAUUCAGUAUUAUCACGGGUUACCUUCUUCAUGCCUGGGAUUUGGCUGCAGCUUUCUUCCUUCUUUAAGGUUAAUGCAUUAAGUGAAGAAUUGGAAAGAGAAAAAUAAGGACAGCACAUCGACCGUUGCAUAUCACAUCCUUGAUUCCAAAAGAAACACUCAACCCUAGCGGAAUUUUCAUAAUGUCAGGCUGAAUCAAGCAAAGAUUCAAUGGGUCGAAUGGCCUGUUACUGUGUUGCAACUGUGUUUGGUCUUAUCACAUAGUUAAUCUUUUUCAAAGUGGGUUUUGAAAUCACCCAGAGAGAUCAAUUGAAUUAUUUUGUCAUUAUUUAAUCAAUGAUCUUGUUGUGAAAAUCUUUUGUUAAAGUACAUGGGAUCAUUUUGGGUGAAUGUGCUAACCCAUUAAAUACCAAUAUUGGAUCAUG